rnacentral:lncRNA from 1 species
CAGCGGAGAGUUGGUGAACAGCAAAUAAUUAAGUAAUCAAAAUGGCAGAGUGUUAGUCCAAAAUUAUCUUUUUCGUGCUGUUCAUUUACCUCCCUUUUAUAGAUGAUUCUGAUAUAACCGUUGAGCACGUGAUUUCAUUUUUUAUGGCGUUAAAUUAUCGGACCAUAAUCAUGGAGUUAAUGGGUUGUUUAUGCCCACUAAUGACCAUGACACAUAAUCAAUAACUGUUUAUAACGGUUAGGUGUAUUGAGAAGAUAGACCGACUAUAUAUCGGUAAUAGUGAUAAGUCGGUAGUCCUGA